rnacentral:lncRNA from 1 species
ACAUUCCUUACUCUGUUGUUUAUCGUUUCUGAUCCUCCCCAAAUGAUAGAUUUAUCAUCCCGCUUUUGUUCUCUACCACAUUUAACGACAGCAUCAUCUCAGCGGCAGUGGCUCAGCGAUGACAUUUUGGUCUUGAGAGGGAUCCACCUGAAGUAGUAGUGGAUAUUAGGUCUGAUGAGAAGUUUGUGAUAGAUUUGAAUUAAAGGGUUAUCAGGUUUAUGAUGAUGUUGAUGAUGUACGGAACUUAGUAGGAUGCCUAGAAACGCAUUUUAAUCUUUAAUACUUGUUGUAUUGCAAUUCAUUUGUUUCAACUUGUUGUAUUUCUAUUUCAAACUAUGUAAUUUGAUUCUUUUAGCAAUGAAAUGAAAUCU